CAGAAAAUAGUUUAAGUAAAAUACUAGCUUUGGGAGUUGACAAUGGGAGGAAGUCUCUCUUUUCUGA
rnacentral:tRNA from 1 species